rnacentral:rRNA from 1 species
GGGGGGUGGGCCUUUUUAAGAAUUUAUGGGCAUAAAGCGCGCACACCCGAAUAGAGGGUUGGGGGUGAAUUACCUGCCUCUACUUACCGGAACUGCCUUUAAUACUGCUAGUCUUGAGUUCGAGAGAGGUGAGUGGAAUUCCGAGUGUAGAGGUGAAAUUCGUAUAUCUUUAGAGGAACACCAGUGGCAAAGCGACUCACUGACUCGAUACUGACGCUGAGGUGCGAAAGUGUGGAGAGCACACAGGAUUAGAUACCGUGGUAGUCCACACCAUACACUAAGAGUGCCACUCGUCAGACAGUAUACUAUACGGUGACACAUCUCACGGAAUACACAUUCCCCCCUGGAGUAGUACUGUCGCAAUAUUAAAACUCAGCAGAUAUGACGGGGCCCACACAAGCUGGUAGAAUCAUGUAGUUUUAAUUCAACACACGCGCAAAGCUGUAACGACCCUUGACAUCGCUG